CGUUAUUCUGCGUUAACGAUGGAAACGGCAUCCUUUUUGGCUGUCAUCCUGAGCGUAGUAGAAGGACAGCCAAAAAGAUACAGUGUACAGCGUGUUAAAAC
rnacentral:sRNA from 1 species